rnacentral:rRNA from 1 species
CCCUUAGAUGUCCUGGGCCGCACGCGCGCUACACUGAGUGUCUGAGAUACGAGUCUGCCUGGUCCGGCAAGGUCUAGGUAAUCGCUAAAAGACACAUCAUGCUUGGGAUAGAUUAUUGCAAAUAUUAAUCCUGAACGAGGAGUUCCUAGUAAGCGCAAGUCAACAGCUUGCGUUGAUUACGUCCCUGCCCUUUGUACACACCGCCCGUCGCUACUACUGAUUGGAUGUUUAAGCGAGGUUCUCGAACUGCUAGCGACUUAGCUUCGGUGAGGUCGCAGUGUGGGAAGUGAACCUAGCUUUGGUGUCUAGAGGAAGUAAAAGUCGUAACA